CAAAGGCUUGGUCCUGACUUUACUAUCAGCCGUAACACAACUUACACAUGCAAGUCUCCGCAACCCCGUGAGGAUGCCCUUAAUCCCCCGCCCGGGGACGAGGAGCGGGCAUCAGGCUCAACUAUUAGCCCAAGACGCCUUGCCACGCCACACCCCCAAGGGAACUCAGCAGUGAUAAAUAUUAAGCCAUGAGCACUAAGCUUGACUUAGUUAGUGUUAAGAGGGCCGGUAAAACUCGUGCCAGCCACCGCGGUUAUACGAGAGACCCUAGUUGAUAGAUGCGGCGUAAAGGGUGGUUAAGGAGAGCAAAAAUUAAAGCCAAGGGACCUCUUGGCCGUCAUACGCUUCUGAGCAUCCAAAGCCCAAACACGAAAGUAGCUUUAAUAAAACCCACCUGACCCCACGAAAGCUGAGAAACAAACUGGGAUUAGAUACCCCACUAUGCUCAGCCAUAAACCUAGACGUUUAAUCACAACAAACGUCCGCCAGGGUACUACGAGCGUCAGCUUAAAACCCAAAGGACUUGGCGGUGCCUUAGACCCCCCUAGAGGAGCCUGUUCUAGAACCGAUAACCCCCGUUAAACCUCACCACUUCUAGUCAACCCCGCCUAUAUACCGCCGUCGUCAGCUUACCCUGUGAAGGCCCAAUAGUAAGCAAAGUGGGCACAACCCAAAACGUCAGGUCGAGGUGUAGCGCACGGAGUGGGAAGAAAUGGGCUACAUUUUCUAUGAUAGAAUAAAACGGAUGGCAUCAUGAAAAUUUGAUGCUUGAAGGAGGAUUUAGUAGUAAAAAGGAAAUAGAGUGUCCUUUUGAACCCGGCUCUGAGGCGCGUACACACCGCCCGUCACUCUCCCCUGUAAAUAGCAAUCAAUGUAAGUAACAACAAAGCACCAACAAGGGGAGGCAAGUCGUAACAUGGUAAGUGUACCGGAAGGUGCACUUGGAUCAAACC
rnacentral:ncRNA from 1 species